UCCUCGGUCUGGCUGCUUUAUA
rnacentral:miRNA from 15 species